rnacentral:rRNA from 1 species
UACGUAGGGCGCAAGCGUUGUCCGGAAUUAUUGGGCGUAAAGAGCUCGUAGGCGGCCAGUUGCGUCUGCUGUGAAAUCCCGGGGCUCAACCCCGGGCGUGCAGUGGAUACGGGCUGGCUAGAGGCAGGCAGGGGAGAACGGAAUUCCCGGUGUAGCGGUGAAAUGCGUAGAGACCCGGAGGAACACCAGUGGCGAAGGCGGCUUCCUGGUCUGCGACUGACGCUGUGGCGCGAAAGCUAGGGGAGCAAACGGG